GACGAACGCUGGCGGCGUGCUUAACACAUGCAAGUCGAACGGCAGGGCCCUGCGUUUGUGGGGUGCUCGAGGGGCGAACGCGUGCGUGAGACGUAUGUAACCUGCCCUUGACUUUGGGAUAACUUCAGGAAACUGGGGCUAAUACCGGAUCGGAGAUCCUGCUGCAGUGUGGGGGUGGGAACGUUUCGGCGGUUGGGGAUGGACUCGCGGCUUAUCAGUUUGUUGGUGGGUGAGGGGCUUACCAAGCCUUGGGCGGGUAGCCAGCCUGAGAGGGUGAACGGCCACAUUGCGACUGAGGUACGGACCAGAGUCCUACGGGAGACAGCAGUGGGGAGUAUUGCACAAUGGGCGGAAGUCGGAUAAGACAACGCUGGGUGUGUGAUGCCGUCUUUCUGGGUGAAAACCGCAUUCGCCUAUUACGCAGCGUUAGUGACGGUAAUCGAUAAAGAAGCACCGGCUAACUACGUG
rnacentral:rRNA from 1 species